rnacentral:rRNA from 1 species
UACAGAGGGUGCAAGCGUUGUUCGGAAUUAUUGGGCGUAAAGGGCGCGUAGGCGGUGCUAUAAGUCUGUGGUGAAAUCUCUGGGCUCAACUCAGAGUCUGCCAUAGAAACUGUAGUGCUAGAGUGUGGGAGAGGUGAGUGGAAUUCCCGGUGUAGCGGUGAAAUGCGUAGAUAUCACUUGGAACGCCAAUGGUGAAAACAGGUCGCUGGGAGUAUGCUGACGCUGAGACACGAAAGCCAGGGGAGCGAACGGG